UACACGAAAAACUUCGCGAAUAGAACCAAUACCGAAGGGAUCGAUUUCAUUUGAAAUCUCAUCGCCUUCGGUGAUUUUUUUGUAAUGGAACUCCUCUCCUUUGAUAGAGUGUUCUUCGGAUGCGUCCCAAAAAUCUUCACUAUCCGUUUUCACAUCAAUGUACUUCAAGCGUUCAAAUAUCUUUUCAAGGAUAGAUGUCAUCGAUAAUUCAGCACUAUAGCGUAAAACUUGGGAAAGCCUAGACUGGCAACACAUACUGAGCCCUGUUUCAACAAUUUCGCAAAUAGAAUCAUCACUCAAAACAGCUUUUCCAGGACCUCUUAACAAUUCUUCCAUUAGCCUAGAAACUCGCAACAAUACAGCCUCAUCCUGUGAAGCAUCGAA